rnacentral:misc_RNA from 1 species
UUGCCUAUAAACCUUCCACUACGUGUGUCGUAGUAUUCAGGCCACUGAUCCAAGGACAACCUCUUCUCAGCCAAAUCAACUGCCCUCUGAGCUAAUUCAGGUCUCCCCAUUUUUACACAUGCCAAUGUGAACUGCCAUAGAAGGGUUGGCCAAGAUCCUCCAUUGUGAUAAGACCAUGGGGUAUUCUUUGGGUCACUGCC